AGCGCAGGCGGGCGAUCAAGUUGGAAGUGAAAUCCAUGGGCUCAACCCAUGAACUGCUUUCAAAACUGGUCGUCUUGAGUAGUGCAGAGGUAGGCGGAAUUCCCGGUGUAGCGGUGGAAUGCGUAGAUAUCGGGAGGAACACCAGUGGCGAAGGCGGCCUACUGGGCACCAACUGACGCUGAGGCUGAAAGUGUGGGUAGCAAACA
rnacentral:rRNA from 1 species